rnacentral:rRNA from 1 species
AUGGUUCUAUUCAUCCUUCAAUUUUCCCAACUCCGGUUUCUAGCAACGAUGGACCUUGGGCUAAAUGGAAUUUCUGGCAAGGUUCCUGGGUUCUUUGCAGAAUUCCCUUUCUUAAGAGACCUUACCCUCCGGGCUAAUGAUUUUGAAGGGCAAUUUCCCACAAAUAUCUUCCUGCUAAAAUAUCUGAAACAUCUUGACCUGUCCUAUAACCCCAGCCUUUAUGUGCAACUACCAGAUUUCCCACCAAGAAAUGGUUUGCAAUCACUAAAUCUACUGGAGACAAACAUUUUUGGUGGCAUACCAGAUUCUUUUGUCCAUCUCAACUCCUUGAAAUUCUUGGGCCUUAGCAACAUAGGAUCUCACAAGCAGCCCAUUACCUCCAUAGCUAACCUUACGUCCCUAAAUGGAUUGUGGCUCUCUGGAUCAGGAAUAGAGAAGCCAAUGCUCUCUUGGGUUGGAAGAUUUGAGAAUCUGAUUUACUUGUCGCUGCAUGACUAUAAUUUCUCUGGUCCAAUUCCUUGGUGGAUCAGAAAUUGUACAAACUUGAUGAGCUUAUGGCUCAGACAGUGCAGUUUAUCUGGGGCAAUACCCACGUGGAUUGGGAACUUGGCCAAGCUUUCAGAUUUGAACUUAUCAUACAAUCGGUUGAGUGGAAAUGUCCCAAAGGCUUUGUUCACUCUUCCGUCGUUGCAAGAACUACUACUAUCAUCAAAUGAACUUUGUGGAAGUUUAGAAGACAUUCCAAACCCAAUAUCUUCCUUACUGUACUCCAUCGAGCUAAGAGAUAACAACUUUGCAGGUCAUAUACCCAAAUCUUUCUUCGAUCUUACAAGACUUCAAGUUCUCUUGCUGGACUCGAAUUACUUUGAAGGCACAGUAGAACUUGGCAUUAUUUGGAAGCUGAAUGCACUAGAUUUUUUGAUGCUCUCCGAUAAUAUUCUAUCAGUCAUAGAUGUUGAAGAUGGUUAUCCAUUGCCUUACCUCCCUCACAUCAGAUAUCUAGGAUUAGCAUAUUGCAACCUUACAAUAAUUCCAGGCACAUUGAGGUAUACAAAUCAGUUGUCUUACUUGGACCUUUCAAAUAACAAAAUACAUGGAGUCAUACCAAGCUGGAUAUGGGUGAACUGGAAGGAAAGUAUGUUCGAACUAAAUCUCUCAAACAACAUGUUCACUAGCUUGGAAAACUCUCCAUCUCUUGUUCAAAUGGACAAUUUAAAAAUGCUUGAUCUUAGUUCCAACAAGCUGCAUGGCACCGUACCUAUACCAGUUACAACUACGUCGUCUAGUGCUUUGUUAGAUUGGUCAGACAACAGCUUCUCUUCUAUUAUACCUGACUUUGGUAGGUACCUUCCCAACAAUACCAUCCAUCUUGAUUUGUCUAGGAAUAAAUUAUAUGGUAACAUUCCAGGGUCUAUUUGUACCCAAAAGCAACUUAAGAUCCUGGACUUAUCAUACAACAACUUUAGCGGCAUGAUGCCAGCGUGUCUAAUAGAAGGUAGCAGUUUAGGUAUGUUGAAAUUGAGAGAUAAUCAUUUGCAUGGGAUACUACCUGAAAAUAUUGGAGAUGGAUGUAUGCUUCAGACAAUUGAUUUGAACAACAACCAAAUUGAAGGGAAGAUACCAAGAUCAUUAUGUAACUGCAGAAACUUAGAGGUCCUUGACAUUGGUAGCAAUCAAAUUCUUGAUACUUUUCCAUCUUGGUUGGGUGAGAUGUCUAAUCUACGAAUUCUCUUCUUGAGAUCAAAUCAAUUAUAUGGUUCAAUAGGAGGCCUUGCUGAAAGUGAUGCGAGUAGUAAGGACUUCUCGGCUUUGCAGAUUAUUGAUUUGGCCUCAAAUAACUUUUCUGGGAGCUUGAGUUCAAAAUGGUUUGACAUGCUACAAAGAAUGACAGAAAACUCUAGUGACAAGGGUAACGCUCUGGCCUUUGAUUCAAGAUUUCCUGGGGAGUACUACCAAGAGAGACUCACAUUCAAAGGGAUUGAUCUUACAUUUACCAAGAUCCUGACCACUUUCAAGAUGCUUGAUUUCUCAAACAACGCAUUUGAUGGUCCCAUCCCAGACUCAGUUGGGAAUCUUAUUGCUCUACAUGGCCUAAACAUGUCACAUAAUGCCUUCACUGUGUUAGAAGGGAUAGAGGGGGAUUGGUGGAAUUGUUUUAUGUAUUGCUUGAGCCUCAUGGGCAUAUAUAUAGGAGUACAUGAUCUACUCGGAGUACAAGGCAAGCCAGGAUAUUUCCUAGUCUAA